CCUUGAAAUACCACCCUUUAAUGUUUGAUGUUCUAACGUGGAUCCGUAAUCCGGGUUGCGGACAGUGUCUGGUGGGUAGUUUGACUGGGGCGGUCUCCUCCUAAAGAGUAACGGAGGAGCACGAAGGUUGGCUAAUCCUGGUCGGACAUCAGGAGGUUAGUGCAAUGGCAUAAGCCAGCUUGACUGCGAGCGUGACGGCGCGAGCAGGUGCGAAAGCAGGUCAUAGUGAUCCGGUGGUUCUGAAUGGAAGGGCCAUCGCUCAACGGAUAAAAGGUACUCCGGGGAUAACAGGCUGAUACCGCCCAAGAGUUCAUAUCGACGGCGGUGUUUGGCACCUCGAUGUCGGCUCAUCACAUCCUGGGGCUGAAGUAGGUCCCAAGGGUAUGGCUGUUCGCCAUUUAAAGUGGUACGCGAGCUGGGUUUAGAACGUCGUGAGACAGUUCGGUCCCUAUCUGCCGUGGGCGCUGGAGAACUGAGGGGGGCUGCUCCUAGUACGAGAGGACCGGAGUGGACGCAUCACUGGUGUUCGGGUUGUCAUGCCAAUGGCACUGCCCGGUAGCUAAAUGCGGAAGAGAUAAGUGCUGAAAGCAUCUAAGCACGAAACUUGCCCCGA
rnacentral:rRNA from 2 species